rnacentral:rRNA from 1 species
AAUUAAAGGAUUAUUAUGAUUUUAUUUUUAAGUUUUAUUGACUAAAGUAAUAUUGGGUUUCAUUAGAAGAGGCGUAAGAAUUAGUUUUAUUAUAGUUUAUUUUACUGAGGGGGAGUUUAAUUUAAUUUGUUAAAAGAAGAGUUUAUUUUUUGUACCUUGUGUGUCAGGGUGGGUUAAUAAGCGGUUUUUUAUAAAAGGUUCUCGAAUUUAAUGGAGCUAGCUUAAUAUUGUUGUUUUUGUAUCAAAAAAAUAUUAAAUGUUUAGUUAGUAAUGAAACGUUAGUCGUCUUUAAGGUUAUCUAGUUUCUUAGGAAAAAAAUUAAAUUUUAUUAUGACUAAGCAAAAUUUCUGAUAUUAGGCAGAUAUUGUUAUUUAUAGUAAGUAGACCCAGGGAUGAGCUUGGGUCUAAAAUCAUACAUAAUUAUAGGGGUUUUAUAUAGGUAGAAUUAAAAGUUUUAAUUUAGGGUGUUAUAACUAUUUUAAGGGUUUAUUUUAUUUUUAUUUUUAUUAUAUUUUUACUAGGGUAUUGAUUAAAAUAUUAUUUGUUAAGUAAGAAUGAUUUAAUUAGUAAAAUUAUGUUUAAUUAUUUGUAUUUAUGGAGAGAUUAUUUUAAGGAAUUCGGCAAAUUAGGUUUUCACCUGUUUAUUAAAAACAUGUCUUUUUGGUUAUUAUUUAAGGUUAAACCUGCCCAAUGAGGAGUUGAAUGGCCGCGGUAUUUUGACCGUGCAAAGGUAGCAUAAUCAGUAGUUUCUUAAUUGGAAUCUGGGAUGAAGGGUUAAUUGAAAAACCUGCUGUCUCUUUUUAAAUGUUUUGAAUUUUAUUUUUAAGUUAAAAAGCUUAAAUUUUCAUAAAAGACGAGAAGACCCUAUAGAGUUUUAUAAUGCUUAAAUAUAUAAUUUUAGUAUUUUUUUUAUUUAUUUUUAGUUUUAUUUAGUUGGGGUGACUGAAAAAUUUAUUUAACUUUUUUUUUAAUUAGACCAAUUAUAGUUGAUUAUUUGAUCCUUUUAGAGUGAAAGAAUAAAUUACCUUAGGGAUAACAGCGUUAUUUUUAUUUAGAGCUCUAAUCGAAAUAAAAGUUUGCGACCUCGAUGUUGGAUUAAAAUUUAUUUUAGGCGUAGUAGUUUAGUGAUUAGGUCUGUUCGACCUUUAAAAUUUUACAUGAUCUGAGUUUAAACCGGUGUGAGCCAGGUUGGUUUCUAUCUUUAUGUAUAGAUAACAAUUUAGUACGAAAGGACCGGUUGUUGGAAUUUUAUUUUAAUUUUGGAAUAUUAUUG